CAAAUGGUUUUUUUGAAAACCAACCAAUAAAUGAUUGUAUUAAUG
rfam:Ipomoea nil DNA, scaffold: scaffold1993, cultivar: Tokyo-kokei standard.